rnacentral:ribozyme from 1 species
UGCCCAGCAACUCCUAUCCCUACCUCCUCGCGGUACCUACGAGCAACCUUAGGAAAGAUCGGGUAACCAACCCCGGUGGGAACUUUGGUCGUAGGCUGACAGGGAAGG